rnacentral:rRNA from 1 species
UACGGUGGGUGCAAGCGUUAAUCGGAAUUACUGGGCGUAAAGCGCGUGUAGGCUGCUUCGCAAGUCGGGUGUGAAAGCCCUGGGCUCAACCUAGGAAGUGCACUCGAAACUGCGAAGCUUGAGUCCUGGAGAGGAAGGCGGAAUUCUCGGUGUAGAGGUGAAAUUCGUAGAUAUCGAGAGGAACACCGGUGGCGAAGGCGGCCUUCUGGACAGUGACUGACGCUGAGACGCGAAAGCGUGGGGAGCAAACAGG